AUGUGGUUAAGUUACUAAGGGCACACGGUGGAUGCCUUGGCGCUAGGAGCCGAAGAAGGACGCAGCGAACUGCGAUAAGCCUCGGGGAGCGGUAAGCACGCUUUGAUCCGGGGAUCUCCGAAUGGGGAAACCCACCAUCUGUAAUGGGAUGGUAUCCAUCACUGAAUACAUAGGUGAUGAGAAGGCAGACCCGGUGAACUGAAACAUCUAAGUAGCCGGAGGAAGAGAAAACAAUAGUGAUUCCGUCAGUAGUGGCGAGCGAACGCGGAAGAGCCUAAACCGUCGGGUUUACCCGGCGGGGUUGUGGGGCGUCUCACAUGGAGUUACAAAAGACGCGCGUAGGUGAACAGCUUGGGAAAGCUGACCAUAGAGCGUGAUAGUCGCGUAACCUAAACGCGCGUCUCUCCGAGACCAACCCCGAGUAGCGCGGGACACGUGAAAUCCCGUGUGAAUCUGGCAGGACCAUCUGCUAAGGCUAAAUACUACCUAGCGACCGAUAGUG
rnacentral:rRNA from 1 species